GAUCGCAGUCUGCAACCCGACUGCGUGAAGUCGGAAUCGCUAGUAAUCGCGGAUCAGCAUGCCGCGGUGAAUACGUUCCCGGGCCUUGUACACACCGCCCGUCACACCAUGAGAGUCGGGAACACCCGAAGUCCGUAGCCUAACCGCAAGGGGGGCGCGGCCGAAGGUGGGUUCGAUAAUUGGGGUGAAGUCGUAACAAGGUAGC
rnacentral:rRNA from 1 species